GACGUAGGGGGCGAGCGUUGUCCGGAAUUACUGGGCGUAAAGAGCACGUAGGCGGAUGUAUAAGUCAGGUGUGAAAGACCGCAGCCUAACUGCGGGGUUGCACUUGAAACUGUAUAUCUUGAGGGCAGGAGAGGUUAGUAGAAUUCCUGGUGUAGCGGUGAAAUGCGUAGAAAUCAGGAGGAAUACCAGUGGCGAAGGCGACUGACUGGACUGACCCUGACGCUGAGGUGCGAAAGCGUGGGUAGCAAACAGGAUUAGAUACCCUGGUAGUCCACGCCGUAAACGAUGGAUACUAGGUGUGGGAGGUAUCGACCCCUUCCGUGCCGCAGCUAACGCAAUAAGUAUCCCGCCUGGGGAGUACGGUCGCAAGGCUGAA
rnacentral:rRNA from 1 species